AGAGUUUGAUCCUGGCUCAGAACGAACGCUGGCGGCAGGCCUAACACAUGCAAGUCGAACGCCCCGCAAGGGGAGUGGCAGACGGGUGAGUAACACGUGGGAACAUACCCUCCGGUUCGGAAUAACUCAGGGAAACUUGAGCUAAUACCGGAUACGUCCUGGCGGAGAAAGAUUCAUCGCCGGAGGAUUGGCCCGCGUCCGAUUAGCUAGUUGGUGAGGUAACGGCUCACCAAGGCGACGAUCGGUAGCUGGUCCGAGAGGAUGAUCAGCCACAUUGGGACUGAGACACGGCCCAAACUCCUACGGGAGGCAGCAGUGGGGAAUAUUGGACAAUGGGCGCAAGCCUGAUCCAGCCAUGCCGCGUGAGUGAUGAAGGCCUUAGGGUUGUAAAGCUCUUCGUCAGGGACGA
rnacentral:rRNA from 1 species